rnacentral:ncRNA from 2 species
GAAUAUCUGGCUCUCCGAGCCAAAAUACCUAAGGCGCUUUGGGGCUAUGGUUUUUGGCCGUUAGGGUGCGCUGGGAAACCGGCGUGCCUUCCAUUGCGAAAAGGAGAGCUGAGCCGGGUAAA